rnacentral:misc_RNA from 1 species
UUAUCAACAUCAGAUGCAGAAGAAGAAGGAGACUCACCUGGAGGAAACAUGUGUAGGGCUUUCUGCAAUUCAUGUUGAUCAUUAUUUGCAUCGGCAUGUGAAGAAUAAAUUACCCUCAUGUAUGCCACCUCCAUGCAUUUGUAGGCCAGGGCAGCAGCAGCCAUGUCUUUUUUGGACUUCUCAUAUUCAUGGGCACAAAACUCGCAGAGUUUUGCAGUGCUACUGUACACUUUAAUCGACUGAAUCAUCUCUCCAGUUUUGGCACUCUCACUGCUGCAAGUUUCCAACAGGGAGGCUCCAUGAAGAAACUUAAGGGCUGCCUCAAAGUAAAGCUUUGUACUCUCAAGAUUCGACCCAGAACUCUUGAGACGAUCAGCCAGGUGUUUUAGAUUUUUAGCUUCUUUCAGUGCAUUUGUAGCAGCCUGACUGGAGGAAUCCCUUUUAACUGGACUUGGGGCAUCAAGAUCCCUGCCCCUAUGCCCAUUUGAUAAGGGAUCUCUUGAACAGUUGUGACGAGCCCCAUUUGUA